GAGAGUUUUAACUCUCAUUUAUACACACCAACAAAGAGAGAAAAGAGAGAGCAAGGUAUUCCAUAAACUAUAAGAAAAUAGUUUGUGAAGAAAAAUAGAGUGUGAGAGAUAUUGUAGUGAGGUG